rnacentral:lncRNA from 1 species
CCGGUCACGAACAGAGCGUAAUUGCUGCACGUCUGGCCAGAACAAACACUUGAGCUGGAAAUACCAAACUGUAUAUAUGUUAAACACAGGCUAGUUUUACAGAAUUUUCACCUCUACUUCUCAAUACAAAACCUGUUUUUCACAACUAGCAUUACCCCCACACGCAGAAAUUUUUAAAGAAAAGAUGACUAGGUCUAUUCUAGAACCUUUUGUUAUUCCUGGCAGUAGUACAAUGAAAUUGGGUCUAGUGGUAUUUAUUGUUGGGGUGGAUGUAACUCCUAUUGAAUCUGAAAGCACAGCAUCAAGUGAAAACUGCUGAACAAAUGCUAAGCAUAGAAACUCUUCUGUUUAUGAACUUUUUGGUUUUCAAUAGGCUGCCCUGAGUAUGCUUUUUUGUUCUUAAUUGAACACAACAUGGUACAAAAAAUUACUACCCCUGGCCGGGCGUGAGCCACCACGCCCAGCCUUUUUAUUUUAAACUCAUAUAUAUUUAUUAGCUGGAG